GGAGGUGCGCCAACGCUGGAGAGUUGGGCUGCUCUGUAAAAGCACUGCUUAGGCUGAGUAGGUUCGAAUCCUACCACCUCCA
rnacentral:tRNA from 1 species